AUAUUUACAUGAUGGGGAGAUACCAUGAUCAAAAGUAUGGCUUUCCCAGGCCAAGGCUUACCUACUGCACCCCAGUUCAGCUGACACUUGUGAUUUCUCCUGACAUGGGAAACUGUACUGCAUAAUUUGUGGUAGUAGAUGAUGCUUUCACAUUCU
rnacentral:snRNA from 1 species